rnacentral:rRNA from 1 species
UCGGGAAUUUUGCGCAAUGGGGGAAACCCUGACGCAGCAAUACCGCGUGUGGGAUGAAGGCCUUCGGGUCGUAAACCACUUUUUUCGGGGACGAUAAUGACGGUACCCGAAGAAUAAGCCACGGCUAACUACGUGCCAGCAGCCGCGGUAAUACGUAGGUGGCAAGCGUUGUCCGGAUUUACUGGGCGUAAAGCGCGCGCAGGCGGUGAAUGAAGUCGAAAGUGAAAGCCCCGGGCUCAACUCGGGAACUGCUUUCGAAACCAGUUCACUUGAAGGCGGAAGAGGGAAGUGGAAUUCCGAGUGUAGUGGUGGAAUGCGUAGAUAUUCGGAAGAACACCAGAGGCGAAGGCGACUUCCUGGUCCGAUCUUGACGCUGAGGCGCGAAAGCUAGGGGAGCAAACGGGAUUAGAUACCCCGGUAGUCCUAGCUGUAAACGAUGGAUACUAGGUGUUGGAGGUUUUAACCCCUCCGGUGCCGCAGCUAACGCAUUAAGUAUCCCGCCUGGGGAGUACGGCCGCAAGGCUA